GAAACCCAGUGUGACUCGUCACACUAUCAUUAACUGAAUCCAUAGGUUAAUGAGGCGAACCGGGGGAACUGAAACAUCUAAGUACCCCGAGGAAAAGAAAUCAACCGAGAUUCCCCCAGUAGCGGCGAGCGAACGGGGAGGAGCCCAGAGCCUGAAUCAGCAUGUGUGUUAGUGGAAGCGUCUGGAAAGGCGCGCGAUACAGGGUGACAGCCCCGUACACAAAAGCGCAUGUGCUGUGAGCUCGAUGAGUAGGGCGGGACACGUGGUAUCCUGUCUGAAUAUGGGGGGACCAUCCUCCAAGGCUAAAUACUCCUGACUGACCGAUAGUGAACCAGUACCGUGAGGGAAAGGCGAAAAGAACCCCGGCGAGGGGAGUGAAAAAGAACCUGAAACCGUGUACGUACAAGCAGUGGGAGCACCCUUUGGGUGUGACUGCGUACCUUUUGUAUAAUGGGUCAGCGACUUAUAUUCUGUAGCAAGG
rnacentral:rRNA from 1 species